GAUGAACGCUAGCGGCAGGCUUAAUACAUGCAAGUCGAGGGGCAGCAUAAGUAGCAAUACUUGAUGGCGACCGGCAAACGGGUGCGGAACACGUACAGAACCUUCCUUCGAGGCGGGGAAUAGCCCGGAGAAAUCCGGAUUAAUACCCCAUAGUAAAUUGAAAAGGCAUUCUUUUUAAUUUUAAAGAUUUAUCACUUGAAGAUGGCUGUGCGCCUGAUUAGGUAGUUGGCGGG
rnacentral:rRNA from 1 species